AGGUGCUCACUGCCUGGAGACUGCUGCUGUUCCUUAGAGUUUGCCAGGCUGGCCAGAGGGAGGCAGGCGAGCAGAUAAUGAGCUGUCCCCACGUCAUGAAGACCUUUGCUCUGGUCCUGUUGGCGGCCCUGCUGUGUGCAGAGAGAGCCCAGGGUCUGCGCUGCUACCACUGCCCGGGGGGCAUCUCCGGGAACUCCUGCCCUGCGGUC